GCGUCGAUAGUGCAACGGUUCAGCACGCUCUCUCGAAAAGAGUGAGAUCUGGGUUCGAAUCACAGCUGACGCA